UAGGGAAUCUUCGGCAAUGGACGAAAGUCUGACCGAGCAACGCCGCGUGAGUGAAGAAGGUUUUCGGAUCGUAAAACUCUGUUGUUAGAGAAGAACAAGGACGUUAGUAACUGAACGUCCCCUGACGGUAUCUAACCAGAAAGCCACGGCUAACUACGUGCCAGCAGCCGCGGUAAUACGUAGGUGGCAAGCGUUGUCCGGAUUUAUUGGGCGUAAAGCGAGCGCAGGCGGUUUCUUAAGUCUGAUGUGAAAGCCCCCGGCUCAACCGGGGAGGGUCAUUGGAAACUGGGAGUAUUGAGUGCAGAAGGGGAGAGUGGAAUUCCAGGUGUAGCGGUGACAUGCGUAGAUAUAUGGAGGAACACCAGUGGCGAAGGCGGCUCUAUGGUAUGUAACAGACAAUGCGGCUCGAAAGCGUGGGGAGCGAACAGG
rnacentral:rRNA from 1 species